GUGACCUCAAAUCAGGUAGGACUACCCGCUGAACUUAAGCAUAUCAAUAAGCGGAGGAAAAGAAACUAACAAGGAUUCCCCUAGUAACUGCGAGUGAAGCGGGAAAAGCUCAAAUUUAAAAUCUGGCGGUCUUUUGGCUGUCCGAGUUGUAAUCUAGAGAAGUGUUAUCCGCGCUGGACCAUGUACAAGUCUCCUGGAAUGGAGCGUCAUAGAGGGUGAGAAUCCCGUCUUUGACAUGGGCUGCCAGGGCUUUUGUGAUGCGCUCUCAAAGAGUCGAGUUGUUUGGGAAUGCAGCUCAAAAUGGGUGGUAAAUUCCAUCUAAAGCU
rnacentral:rRNA from 1 species